CAAAUAGAAACCAAAUGGUGAGGUGCUUUCUUUGGGAGAAAGACUUAGUUAGUUCGAUUCUAUCCUAUUUGA
rnacentral:tRNA from 1 species